GAGAUAAAUGCGUCACGGCAUGUAAGAUGAAUGUGAACCACAAGCUAUUUUGUUUCCCUGUUUCAUAAAUUUGUGCCCUGACUAAUGUAAUCACUUUAUAAGUGUAACAAAAAUGGAUGUUCUGACAGCACCUUUCUUCUCAUAUGUUCUAUCAGGCGAGUUCACUCUCCGUGCUUUUCUCAAUGGACACUUAGAUCUUUCUCAAGCUGAAAAUGUUGGAAAACUCAUUUCAUCUAAAUCUGUUGCUGCUGCAGAUGCUGCAUUGGCAGGGAUCCAGCAGAGAGUCUGAUGAGCAGGCUUUGUAUCAUAUUCUGUGAUAGGGUGGGUUUUCUGCUUUAGUCAAAUCAUUGAGAACACUGCACCGAGUUGCUUGCAGAAAUUGAAGUUCAUUUGGAUUUUGAUGAUGAAAUGCCGCCCCUAGAUAUAAAUUUUUUGAUGGACAGCAUAAAUGCUAUGUGGCAAGUUGUGAAGAAGGCAUUGGACACUGCCAGCUAUGAUAAGCUUGUACAAUCUAGAUUGCAGGUAGCUACCACAAAAGAUGUCUAUCAUGCCCAUACCUUUAUUUUUCCCUCAUACGACUCAACACACAAUUAUGAAAAACACGGAUGCCUUCUUUUGAAGUUACAGUGUCGUGUCUUAAUAAUUUCACGUUGAUAAUACUAUCUUUUGCAAAUAUUGGUAUCUGUCUCUGCUUAAACUUGAGAAUUUUAGUUAAGAGGUCAUCCAUGAGUGGAUGGAAGAAUCCCCAAAAUCUCUGGGAAAUGGAAGACCCCAUGGUCAACCAUGAGGUAUUGUUCUACAUACUUUUUUGGGCUAUCAGUUUUGAAAAACGGAGCAUACAGUAGAAACUCCUAGGCCAAAGAUUAUUAUCCUUGGGGUUUCCUUCCUACUUACUGUUGGUUUAUGUAAAAGGAUAAGUUCCGAGCCAGAUUCCAACAGGACCACAAUAAUUGAAGGUUGUCUGCUCUGCUGCAUACUUAAAAGCAUGAUUGCUUGCAACAUGUUGUAUCCUUGUAAUGCUUUUAUCAACGGGUUUUGGCUCUUGAACAACAUCGCCACUUAAUUGCAUAAAACAGGUUGUUGAAUGUAUUUCUUUGCCAAAGAUGAGUCUGUUACCACACCAGUCUAGUCUUUUCCUUAACAACACCCAUAUUCUACUGACAAUUCUUCAUUUCAGGAGCUAAAAGUAUAGCAUAUAAGAGUGUUGAAUUGUAUAGUCAUUUUUUUUUUUUUCCUUUUUUCAUUUGUAUGAAGAAGCAUAUGUGUUGUUGUACAUAUUAGUCACGUUGGCAUGUGUAGACAUCCUAU